UUUUUCUCCUGACCACGCCUCUUACACAUUGGUUUACGGCAGGUAAUGACGCCAUUUUGUCGUGGUGUGUGUGAAUUCAAGGAGCUGUUGAUGAGAAGUUGGAACAUUUGUUUUCGCAAGUUCUGCAGACAUUUUUUUCCAAACAUUUGCCUUUUUAUCGUUUCCCCCCCUGAGAGACUGUUUGUGAGCAGUGAAAAUCGUUUGUUAAAGUUUAAACGACGGAAAUGUUUUCUCCGGUUAUCUAGUGUUCUCUCUCGCGUGCGGUGGAUCACCGUGCAUGAACCCCUGAUCGGCGAGUUCGACGCGCGUUAUUUCGUCGUUUGUUUCUUUUUCACACGAGGAGCUGUUGUUGGGCGUGUAAACUUAGUUUGAACCUCUGGCUGUCGGCGCACUCCCAGCAGAGGAGGGAGGAUGAAGCGCGAAAAUGGUCAAGAAGAGAUGCUUUGGAUUAGAAGUAAAAGUUGUCAACGACGAGCCUGACAUCAGCCUGAUGGUACUUCAAUGGCCAGCUCUUUCUACAGUAAACCAGGUUGCAGCUGACAAGGACUCAUACAGGCAAACUUCAGUGAGAAUCGUCUGUGUUGAUCUAUAAAGUGCUCAGCUAAACCCAUCAUGAGUGAAGAUCGUCUUGGAAGGAUGUUUGGUGAUGGAUGAACCGACCAACCUCAGGACUUCUGUGUCCUUUUUUCUGACUGAUUUAUGCCCUGCAACUGGACUACCCUAACUGUAUGAAAAAUACUUUAUAUUUUAUUCAGCAGGUAAUGCUCAACCUAGGAAAAUGUGAGCUGGCACCUAAAAUGGAAUACUGCCACUAUUGUGAACUCAGGAGUGUAAACAAACCAUAUAGUUUUGAUGCAGUUUGUUGUGAUUCUGAGAUAGACUAUUUAUGUGCUUAACAAUAAGCUGAUUUGUUAAAAUUAUUUUUUUCAUGUUUUAUAAGGAAAUGUUUUCAGGACAUAAAAUGUUGUUGUAUUUGGAAUUGAAUUAAAAUAAAACAUAAAAUUGA